UGGGGAAUCUUGGACAAUGGGCGCAAGCCUGAUCCAGCCAUGCCGCGUGAGUGAUGAAGGCCUUAGGGUUGUAAAGCUCUUUCAGCAGUGAGGAUAAUGACGUUAACUGCAGAAGAAGCCCCGGCUAACUUCGUGCCAGCAGCCGCGGUAAUACGAAGGGGGCUAGCGUUGUUCGGAAUUACUGGGCGUAAAGCGCGCGUAGGCGGACCAUUAAGUCAGGGGUGAAAGCCCGGGGCUCAACCCCGGAACUGCCCUUGAUACUGGUGGUCUUGAGACCGGGAGAGGAGAGUGGAAUUCCCAGUGUAGAGGUGAAAUUCGUAGAUAUUGGGAAGAACACCCGUGGCGAAGGCGGCUCUCUGGCCCGGUUCUGACGCUCAGGUGCGAAAGCGUGGGGAGCAAACAGGAUUAGAUACCCCCGUAGUCC
rnacentral:rRNA from 1 species